rnacentral:rRNA from 1 species
UACGGAGGGUGCGAGCGUUAAUCGGAAUUACUGGGCGUAAAGGGUGCGCAGGCGGUGGCCCGCGUGGGCGGUGAAAGCUCCUGGCUCAACUGGGAGAGGGCCGUCCAGACGGGGUCACUUGAGAGGCGGGAGAGGGGCGUGGAAUUCCGGGUGGAGCGGUGAAAUGCGUAGAGAUCCGGAGGAACACCGACGGCGAAGGCAGCGCCCUGGCCCGCCAUCUGACGCUCAGGCACGAAAGCUGGGGGAGCGAACAGG